rnacentral:rRNA from 1 species
GAUGAACGCUGGCGGCGUGCCUAAUACAUGCAAGUCGAGCGAACGGACGAGAAGCUUGCUUCUCUGAUGUUAGCGGCGGACGGGUGAGUAACACGUGGAUAACCUACCUAUAAGACUGGGAUAACUUCGGGAAACCGGAGCUAAUACCGGAUAAUAUUUUGAACCGCAUGGUUCAAAAGUGAAAGACGGUCUUGCUGUCACUUAUAGAUGGAUCCGCGCUGCAUUAGCUAGUUGGUAAGGUAACGGCUUACCAAGGCAACGAUGCAUAGCCGACCUGAGAGGGUGAUCGGCCACCCUGGAACUGAGACACGGUCCAGACUCCUACGGGAGGCAGCAGCAGGGAAUCUUCCGCACUGGGCGGAAGCCUGCCGGAGCAACGCCGCGUGAGUGAUGAAGGUCUUCGGAUCGUAAAACUCUGUUAUUAGGGAAGAACAUAUGUGUAAGUAACUGUGCACAUCUUGACGGUACCUAAUCAGAAAGCCACGGCUAACUACGUG